UCAAUAUUACUAAUGAGAGCGCCU
rnacentral:siRNA from 1 species